AGUGAACGCUGGCGGUAGGCCUAACACAUGCAAGUCGAACGGCAGCACAGUAAGAGCUUGCUCUUACGGGUGGCGAGUGGCGGACGGGUGAGGAAUACAUCGGAAUCUACUUUUUCGUGGGGGAUAACGUAGGGAAACUUACGCUACUACCGCAUACGACCAACGGGGGAAAGCAGGGGAUCUUGGGACCUUGCGCGACCGAUAGAGCCGAUGUCGGAUUAGCUAGUUGGCGGGGUAAAGGCCCACCAAGGCGACGCUCCGUAGCUGGUCCGAGAGGAGGAUCCGCCACCCUGGAACUGAGACACGGUCCAGACUCCUACGGGAGGCAGCAGUGGGGAAUAUUGGACAAUGGGCGCAAGCCUGAUCCAGCCAUACCGCGUGGGUUAAGAAGGCCUUCCGGUUGUAAAGCCCUUUUGUUGGGAAAGAAAAGCAGCAGGUUAAUACCCCGCUGUUCUGACGGUACCCAAAGAAUAAGCACCGGCUAACUUCGUG
rnacentral:rRNA from 1 species